UUAUUAUAUACACAAGGUCUGGAUAUGAGGUAUUCUGCAAUCUGAUUGGUUCUCUACUAGCAGGAUAUUAGCUCAUAUCCUGCUAGUAGAGAAAAACAAAAUGGCGGCUCAAACUGAAUUUCCGAUGUUUUGCGAACGAGAAAACGGCAAGUUGUUCGCUUUUUAUAGCUUUUACAGGAUUAAAAACACAAUGAAAAAACUCCCACAAAUUGUUUACACGUUAGCAAAUUAAUUUUUAAAAUUUAAAAUAGUUAAAAAUAUAUAUUUUUGAAAAACUAAUCGGCCGAAAGAGCGAAGAUAAAAACAUAAACAAAAUAGAAAAAUAUUGAAAAUAUUCGAAAAGCAAAGUCUGUGAAUUCAGACCUUGUGUAUAUAAUAAAACAGUUAUUCCACUCACUCUCGUCAAAUAUGAGCGAUAGCCGAUUCGGCGCUACGCGCCUCAUCGGCUAUCAGCUCAUAUUCGACUCGAGUUCGUAGAAUAACUGUUAAAUAUGCUUAAGUUUACAAUAGUUAACAAUAAGGCGCCAAAUGCAUAAUGGCGGACGGCAGCAAAAUUUUAAACUCGCCUACAGUAAGGAAUUUUAGUCUUGAUCGUGUUGAUAUACCCUCAAUAAAAUUGCUAAACAUUAAUACACACUUAGUCUAUGAUGGUACACGUAUAAAGUGGUCAAAUGAUCUGAAAUCUCUGAAGAAUUUUACCGAAAAUGUUGUCGGUUUGGUUGGUUGCUGGAGGUCGCCCGGUGGCAAAUCUAAACAGUUUGUAAGCAAUGACCUAGAUCUGACAAUGACUUGGCACCCAGGUAAGCAAAAUUCUUUGCUGUUCAGCGGGAAAGACGGUGAAUCCUUAAAGAAAUUAUUGAUAAGUAUUCUGAACACGCCAAGCGAUACUACACAUAAAAUACCGGACGAGCCAAAAUCAUCGACAGGAGAAUCGCGUGACAUUGGCAAAAUUACUAAUUCUAGUGAAUGCCCAAGCCAGCCUAUAGCUGAAAUAAAAGCGAUUAAGGAUAAAAUUGACGGUGUAUUUGUGAUUGUAAACAAGCUUUGUUAUUCUACAACUAGAUUACUAAAUAAAUUUUCUGCAAUUCUCGCCAGAAAGGAUCUUCACGAUUCCACUACCCAAACUGAUUUCGAAGUACAUAACAAUGUCGGAUUAAAUAUAGCUGAUGCCACAAACGCGAUAGAUAACCAGUGUACAUACACGCUUAGUGGUUUAUCGACCGAAAUUGAAGGUCUCAAACUAAACAUCAUAAUCACAGAAUCAAAUAUUUUAAGCAAAGUUCAGUCUAACAAUCAAGCGAUUGAGCAAAUUCGUCACGACCUAGACUCAAUCAAAAGCCAUCAGAGUAAAAGUAACUUCAUUUCAGACAAUAAUACUGUCCCAAUUACAAAUUCUGAAUCAAUUAAUGUUGGACCUACAGCUAACUCAACUAAGAUUGAUAGUACUGCUAC